rnacentral:rRNA from 1 species
UUAGGAAUCUUGCGCAAUGGACGAAAGUCUGACGCAGCGACGCCGCGUGAGGGAUGAAGGCCUUAGGGUUGUAAACCUCUUUCAGCAGGGACGAAGCGAAAGUGACGGUACCUGCAGAAGAAGCCCCGGCCAACUACGUGCCAGCAGCCGCGGUAAUACGUAGGGGGCGAGCGUUGUCCGGAUUUAUUGGGCGUAAAGAGCGCGUAGGUGGUUCGUAAAGUCGGGUGUGAAAGUCCAGGGCUCAACCCUGGGAUGCCAUUCGAUACUCACGGACUAGAGCACGGUAGGGGGAUCUGGAAUUCCUGGUGUAGCGGUGAAAUGCUCAGAUAUCAGGAGGAACACCGGUGGCGAAGGCGGGAUCCUGGGCCGUUGCUGACACUGAGGCGCGAAAGCUGGGGGAGCGAACAGG